GGGGAUGAUCGGUUUCGACGGCGAUUACUUGCCGAAGAGAAGCGGGUCGAGGAUGCAGAGUCAUCUCGUUAACGACUCUCUGCAAACCAAUAGGUGCCAACUCAAAGCGCACCGAUUUCGCCCUCGCUGCCUAAGCGAGCUUCGAAAUCCGUCAGACUGAGGGUGCUUUCUCCUCAAUAACUGGCGACGUUAAGAAAGCCACUGCUGAGUGUGCAUGCCACGGGCACGCUCGGGACUCUUACGCGGCUAGGUUCGUCAGCGGCUUGUUUGCGAGAACGCUGGAGCCAAAAACAACGGUCAGCAAACUACACCCGUAGAAGGCUUUGACUUUGAUCGUCGGACGCGAGUUCAAUUCUCGCCAUCUCCACA
rnacentral:tmRNA from 1 species